AGACAGUUCACCGCAAUAUAACUCUGUCUGGCACUUUUGCAAAUUCCUGAGAUUGAGCUUCUACAGAACUGCUAUUGAAUCAUGUCAAUAUUUAAUCAGCACCUAAAGACUGCUGGAAAUAAAUAUUUAGAGACAGUGCUUCUAUUUUAUUGUUUCAGUGCACUGAAGAAGUAGGGAAGAAUGCACUUCUGCAUCACCCUUUGAUUUGAUGCAAUUUAAAUUCUCAGUGCUUAUUCUUGCAAGUGAGGAAGAGAUUAAGAACUGGACUCCAAGAUUUUACAAGCUGUAAUGAAGUGACUAAGUGAAGAAUUUCAUUUUUCAAUCUUUUAUUCAGGCAAACGUCUGUUAAAGUCACUGGUAUCUGCAGCACAGAUCUCUUAAAUAUCUCUUAAGAUGUAGGUGGCUAACUAGCAAUUUGGAAAGAAGCCAGUUAAGAUGAAGAAUGGAAAAGAAAACUCAAGAGAUCCUGAUUUACAGUUCUUUAAUCUGUCUCCCAGUAUUGCAACGACAAAUAUUAAUGACAAUGUAGAAAUAAACAAGGACAACGAAGGGCACGCAAAGAAGAACUGCAGAAGGGUCAGCCUCAGUCGGAAGGAUAAAGUUCGUGUCAGUGCCAACGGCAGAAGAAUUCAGGAAGCCAACAAUAAAUGGAAACAAUGUGAGAAGAGCAGGUGUGUUUUCACUCAGAGGAAGCAGCUACGGAUAUGAAAAUGACUUAGCAGCUGGUGAAUAAGGAGACUGAAGCUGUGCCAGACAAACUUUACAGAUAAGGCUGUGUUCAAACAAGCGCAGCGCCAGCACACCAAAUCUACACAGGAUAUGACUUGAAGCUUUCUCUUCUUGAAGUUGGUAAAGAUUUACCACAGAAAUUCAGCAGGAUGAUUUAUCUUCAGUGUAUGAGGAUAUCAACAAAUUUUAGUUAAAACUUGAGAGGAAUGAUUGUUUGAUGACUGCUCAUACCUUUCUUGUUUCACCUGGUGAUAGACUUUCAGUGCAGUGGUACACAGUAAGAUUUACAGGAACCCUCACCUGAGCACCUUAUUUUCUCUUGCACACUCUGAGUAAUCAAGCUCAGAACCACUAAAUUCUCAGUGAGCGAUGAAGAAAGGCAUGCUGUCAAAGUCACAAAGCUAUCUUUUCAUUUAUAAAACAAUUUAAAAUAAAACAGGAGCUGGAACAACUAUAUCAACAAGAGAAAGGCUGAAGAGAUGAAUCACUCCAAAAUAUUUUUUCAGUGUGCAGAGAAACAGAAAUAUUUCUUUUUGAAUUCCAUGAUAUCAUACAAUCAAGCAAUAUUGAGAGUACACCAACCCAAUGCAUUAGGGAAGUUAUAGGUACGUUUUCAGUUGCUAUAUCAUCCUGCAAAAAUAAUUAAAAAGUGGACUGGCAUUUUCCUUAAAAAUAAAAAAUAAAAAAAUAAAAACAAAUUAAAGCAUUUCAGUAGCUUUCCCUACAAUUUUUUCUUUAGGAGGAAGCUUGGAAUGUUUAUGCUAUUGUAUGGAUUUUAUGUAUAGUUGAUUAGAUCCAAAACUAAAGAAAACUAGGGAAAAUUAACUUGUAUGCUUGGAGAUUCUGUUCAAAGUUCCUGGAUUAAAUAAGCAGCAUUAAAAUUAUAGAUGUCAUCACCAUUUAAAUAACGGUGAAAACCUUUCACCGCCACAGGUUUUGAGGUCCUUUUCCUACGAUCUGUUUACAACCCACUGAACCCUGCUGUGUAUUCACAUUGAUCUUCCUUCUGCUAAGCUUUGUGAGUAGUUACAGUGAUAGCUAACAACAAAAGCCAUGAAAUUAUGGAGCUGAUCUGUUGGUCACUGCAGUGUAACUGUAAGCAUAGUCAAAGACAAACUAUGGAAAGCAUCUUUAGAAACCUGCUAUAAUUCAGUGAUCACCACCCGUAAUGAAAAUGCUGAGUCGUGGCCUGAGCCAGUGAUUGAGCACCUGGUGGGAAGGCAGGGCCAACCCAGGGGAGCUCAGGUGCAUGCAAUGCAUUGAGUGACCGGAAGGGGUGGAGCCAGGAUCCAUCUCUUCCCAGAACUCUUUUAAGGGUUGGCAAAGGAAAUGAGGACAUCUUUUGUUGGAGAUCCCUGCAUACCUGAGGCCUUCCAAAGGCAAGCAGCUCUUUUCCUUUGUUUCUGCAUCCGUGGCUGCUGCAUCUGGGCUCAUUCUUGUUUGCUACAGCCAAAGACUUUGCCACCCCACUAUUACUGCGGUACUUUCCAUCCCAUUAUAGCAUUACGCCAUCUACAAAAGUAUCAAAAUGUUUCAUUUUUCAACUGAAUAUUCUGAAAUAAUAAAAAUAUAUAUUCUAAAUGGAUGUUGCAAGAUCUUUUGGAACUGCUGCAAUUGCAAUGUUCCCUAUCCUUUCACAGUACCCUCUUUUUUACGGAAGAUCAUUUAAUGCAGAGAAAUUCCUACACAUUUGUAUCAGCACAAAGUCAUUAACAUAAGAACAUAUGCCACAUUGGUUCAGACCCAUCUUCUCUUCAGCAGUGGCUAAAAAUCGUUGCCCCGGGAAGAAUAAGAACAGGGCAAGCAUAUGUAAUAUUUCCUCAGAGUCUUCUCCCAGCUGCCAGCUAUUUUCAGGUCAGAGAACUUCCUGAGAUUGAUGCUGCCUGUCUCUUUAGUUUCCCUCAGUGAAUCUCUCCAGUAUUUACUUGACCAGUCUCCCCUUGAACACAUCCAACAUUUUCACAUCCUGAACAGCUUUGACAAGAAGUUCCACAGGUAUACUAACACAAGUCCAUUAACUUAAUGACUUUGCAUUAGCACCUGUCUCUUCCUUUUCCCCAGACUCUACAAUUUUUGAGACUACAGAAACAAAAGUAAUACCAUGGAAGCACUAAUCUUGCUGCACUACACAUCUCCGCCUUUUUGCAGGAGGGGGAAAGAGGUAAAAAAAAUCCCAGAAACUAAAUGCUUUAUUUCAAAUACUUCUCUUUAUUCUCUCCUUCCUCCAUUCUUACUCCACACUGACAGCCGGAUAGAUGGUUUACAAUCAAACAUUCAGCCAAAAGUGCAAAAGCUCCUUAUAUCAGACAUGUUUUCCUUAGUUAGAUGCUGAAUAUAAUGUAGCUCUGUCUAAAACAGAUACAAGAUUUACUAAAUAUUAACAAGAAACUUAGGGAGAAGGCCUGUGUCAUGUAGUUGAUAUCAAAACACCUCAGUUCUUUAUCCUGGCAGGCCUGAGAAAUUAACAUUUAGGCAUAAAAGCUCCUGAGUAUUUGCCUUUAUGGGGAAGAAGAAAAAAAAGAAAAAAGCACCAACGCUGGAGAAAAUGAGGUUUUCAAGGUGAACAUUUUCCCCCCAUUGUUCUACAAUUUUCAGCAGUUUCAUUAAAUAUUGUUUCCUUGGGGAAAGUAAAGAUUCAAUGGGGAUAAAACCUAACCUGAGCUUAAGGCUCUGCAUAAUUAAGUCCCUUUGGAUCUUAACUGAGGAUCAGUGGAUUGGCUUUGUGCUAUUCUCCUGGAAGAUGUAUUUAAGAUUCCAUCUCAUUGCACUCUUUCUGGAUGUACCACAACUUACAUUCUCUAUAGAUUGAUAGCACUGUGUUUACAAAGUUGUUGCUACUUUCUACUGUUGCUAUUACCAUUACUGGCUCUUAAAAUCCAGUUUAAAAGUCUACAUUUGCU
ensembl:lncRNA